rnacentral:rRNA from 1 species
UGGGGAAUAUUGCACAAUGGGCGCAAGCCCGAUGCAGCAACGCCGCGUGAGGGAUGACGGCCUUCGGGUUGUAAACCUCUUUUAGCAGGGAAGAAGCGAAAGUGACGGUACCUGCAGAAAAAGCACCGGCUAACUACGUGCCAGCAGCCGCGGUAAUACGUAGGGUGCAAGCGUUGUCCGGAAUUAUUGGGCGUAAAGAGCUCGUAGGCGGUCUGUCGCGUCUGCUGUGAAAUCCCGAGGCUCAACCUCGGGCCUGCAGUGGGUACGGGCAGACUAGAGUGCGGUAGGGGAGAAUGGAACUCCUGGUGUAGCGGUGGAAUGCGCAGAUAUCAGGAAGAACACCGAUGGCGAAGGCAGUUCUCUGGGCCGUAACUGACGCUGAGGAGCGAAAGCGUGGGGAGCGAACAGGAUUAGAUACCCUGGUAGUCCACGCCGUAAACGUUGGGCGCUAGAUGUGGGGACCAUUCCACGGUUUCCGUGUCGCAGCUAACGCAUUAAGCGCCCCGCCUGGGGAGUACGGCCGCAAGAUUAAAACU